ensembl:lncRNA
ACAUAACUACAGAGAAACAGAACGUCUGUCAGAAGAGCACAAGAAGGAAUAGCGUUUGAAGAAAGAACAAAACGUUUAAAACUACAUCGAUUGAGAGAAAUGAGCACCUUUUUUCCGACUUAAUCGCCAAUAACCCAAAUGGUACCCAGGUGCUAAUCACCCCUCACUGAAUACAUGACGUCAAUGGAUGAAUGCGUGAUACUCCCAGGUCAUUGACCAGGUCCUGCCGUGUAGUUCUGGGCUGAUCCCUCACCUUCCUCAUGAUCAUUGAUGCCCCACGAGGUGAGAUCUUGCAUGGAGCCCCAGACCGAAGGAGAUUGACCGUCAUCUUGAACUUCUUCCAUUUUCUAAUAAUUGCACCAACAGUUGUUGCCUUCUCACCAAGCUGCUUGCCUAUUGUCCAUUAGCCCAUCCCAGCC